AAGCCAGCACCUCAAGUGGUCAGGAGGUUUAUUGGGCCUAAAGCAUCCGUAGCCUGAUCUAUAAGUUUCCGGUUAAAUCCACAUGCUCAACAUUUGGGCUGCCGGAAAAACUGUAGAUCUAGGGAGUGGGAGAGGUAGACGGUACUCGGUAGGAAGGGGUAAAAUCCUUUGAUCUAUUGAUGACCACCAGUGGCGAAGGCGGUCUACCAGAACACGUUCGACGGUGAGGGAUGAAAGCUGGGGGAGCAAACCGGAUUAGAAACCCGUGUAGUCC
rnacentral:rRNA from 1 species